rnacentral:lncRNA from 1 species
UAUAGUCAAUUUUUAACCAUUUUAAAAAAUUUUAGUAUUCUUUUACAUAAAUCUUCUCUGAACUACUGGGCCAAAUCCAACCAAACUUAGUCACAAUCAUCAUUUCGGUAUCUAGUUUGAAAAAUGUGUGGCGUGACCCGUCAAACCAACCAAGAUGGUGGCCAUGGCUAAAAAUAGAACAUAGGGGUGAAAUGUAGAUUUUGGCUUAUAUCUCUGAAACCAUAGCAUUUAGAGCAAAUCUGACAGGUAAAAAUGUUAAUCAGGUCAAGAUCUUUCUGCCCAUAAAUUUUCAGACAAAUCGGACAACCUGUUGUUGGGUUGCUGCCCCCGAAUUAGUAAUUUUAAGGAAAUUUUGAAAUUUUGCAGAUUUUGGUUAUCUUGAAUAUUAUUAUAUAUAGAAAUAAACUGUAAACAGCAAUAAUGUUCAGCAAAAUAAGAUCUACAAAUAAGUCAACAUGACCAAAAUAGUCAAUUGACCCCUUAAGGAGUCAUUGCCCUUUAUAGUCAAUUUUUAACAAUUUUCAUAAAUUUUUGUAAAUUUUUAGAAAAAAAAUUUCCAAUGUAAUUACUGGGCCAAGUUCAUUAUAGAUAGAGAUAAUUGUAGCAACAAGAAUUUUCAGUAAAGAAGUAUCUAAAACACAUCACCAUCACCAAAAUACAAUUUUGUCAUAAAUUUGUCUGUGUCCAUUGUUUAAUAUGCACAUAGACCAAGGUGAGCGACACAGGCUCUUGAGAGCCUCUAGUUUAAACUAGAUACCCUAAUGAUAAUAGUGAACAAGUUUGGUUAAAUUUGUCUUUGCAGUUUCAGAAGAGAAGAUUUUUGUAAAAAAAAAUUGUUAAAAAAUGACUAUAAAAGGCAAUAACUCCUUAAGGGGUCAACUGACCAUUUUGGUCAUGUUAAAUUUUUUGUAGAUCUUACUAUGCUGAACAUUAUUGCUGUUUACAGUUUAUCUUUAUCUAUAGUAAUGUUCAAGAUAAUAAACAAAAACAGCAAAAUUUCCUUAAAAUUACCAAUUCAGGGGCAGCGACCCAACAACGGGUUGUUCAAUUCAUCUGAAAAUUUCAGGGCAGAUAGAUCUUGACCUGAUAAGCAAUUUUACCAUGUCAGAUUUGCUCUUAAUGCUUUGGUUUCAGAGGUAUAAGCCAAAAUCUACAUUUUACCCCUAUGUGCUAUUUUUAGCCAUGGCGGCCAUCUUGGUUGGUUGGCCGGGUUUUUUGUAACAGUUAACAACACCGGACGCCAAGUGAUGAGAAAAGCUCACUUGAUCCUUUGGGCCAGGUGAGCUAUAAAUAGUAGAGCAUAUAAAUUUUCCGUUCUAGGAUUUAAUUUUUUUCAAAAAGUCAUAGUGAAAGUGCAGUUUCAGCCAUAAAAAGAGUUCUUUUAGAAAAUUGCAUUGUCAAUAUUUACAGAAAUGCAGCCUAUACCUGUAUUAUUUUCAUUGUUAGUUAGAUAAUACAACAUCUAGGUACAAAGAGUCCUAAAUUAAAUGUUUAACCAAAAAUUGAAUUUUUGGGUUCUUUUAAAUGGUGAUUUAAACAUGUUUGUGUGUUAAAUCAAUUUUAGAGAACUAAGUCAUUAACCAUUACAUUUGUACACAAAUUGUUACAAGAAUAAGGUAGACAAGUCAGAUUCUACUAAGAAUAAUCAACGUGUAUCAAGAAAAGUGCUGUAGCAAUUAUUUACAUGAUGAAAUAAAAUCUGUCCAUGUAAUAGCAAAAUGACUUUCUUACUCUUAGUGCUAGUCCAAAUAAUUAUGACAAACCAAAAAUCUCAAAUUUUAUUAGGCAAUGCUAAAUUUCACAGCAUCAACUGUAAAAUGUGUUACAGGGUUAUAAGCACCUCUAUGAAUCUAGUGUAUAUAAACUUUUUAUUUCUUUCGUCAUACUGCUAUUGUUAUAUCCCCACCAUAUAAAGUUUUACCCUUUUUAGCUCACCUGGCCCGAAGGGCCAAGUGAGCUUUUCUCAUCACUUGGCGUCCGUCGUCCGUCGUCCGUCGUCCGUCGUCGUCCGUCGUCGUCGUCGUCGUCGUUAACUUUUACAAAAAUCUUCUCCUCUGAAACUACUGGGCCAAAUCAAACCAAACUUGGCCACAAUCAUCAUUGGGGUAUCUAGUUUAAAAAUGUGUGGCGUGACCCGGUCAACCAACCAAGAUGGCCGCCAUGGCUAAAAAUAGAACAUAGGGGUAAAAUGCAGUUUUUGGCUUAUAACUCAAAAACCAAAGCAUUUUGAGGAAAUCUGACAUGGGAUAAAAAUGUUUAUCAGGUCAAGAUCUAUCUGCCCUGAAAUUUUCAGAUGAAUCGGUCAAUCGGUUGUUGGGUUGCUGCCCCUGAAUUGGUAAUUUUGAGGAAAUUUUGCUGUUUUUGGUUAUUAUCUUGAAUAUUAUUAUAGAUAGAGAUAAACUGUAAACAGCAAUAAUGUUCAGCAAAGUAAGAUCUACAAAUAAGUCAACAUGACCAAAAUGGUCAGUUGACCCGUUUAGGAGUUAUUGCCCUUUAUAGUCAAUUUUUAACCAUUUUUCGUUAAUUAAAGUAAUCUUUUACAAAAAUCUUCUCCUCUGAAACUACUGGGCCAAAUUAAUCCAAACUUGGCCACAAUCAUCUUUGGGGUAUCUAGUUUAAAAAAUGUGUGGCGUGACCUGGUCAACCAACCAAGAUGGCCGCCACGGCUAAAAAUAGAACAAAGGGGUAAAAUGCAGUUUUUGGCUUAUAACUCAAAAACCAAAGCAUUUUGAGGAAAUCUGACGGCAUAAAAAUGUUUAUCAGGUCAAGAUCUAUCUGCCCUGAAAUUUUCAGAUGAAUCAGUCAAUCGGUUGUUGGGUUGCUGCCCCUGAAUUGGUAAUUUUGAGGAAAUUUUGCUGUUUUUGGUUAUUAUCUUGAAUAUUAUUAUAGAUAGAGAUAAACUGUAAACAGCAAUAAUGUUCAGCAAAGUAAGAUCUACAAAUAGGUCAGUUGACCCGUUUAGGAGUUAUUGCCCUUUAUAGUCAAUUUUAACCAUUUUUCAUAAAUUAAAUUAAUCUUUUACAAAAAUCUUCUCCUCUGAAACUACUGGGCCAAAUUAAUCCAAACUUGGCCACAAUCAUCUUUGGGUAUCUAGUUUUAAAAAAUGUGUGGCGUGACCUGGUCAACCAACCAAGAUGGCCGCCACCGCUAAAAAUAGAACAUAGGGGUAAAAUGCAGUUUUUGGCUUAUAACUCAAAAACCAAAGCAUUUUGAGGAAAUCUGACAUGGGAUAAAAAAUGUUUAUCAGGUCAAGAUCUAUCUGCCCUGAAAUUUUCAGAUGAAUCGGUCAAUCGGUUGUUGGGUUGCUGCCCCUGAAUUGGUAAUUUUGAGGAAAUUUUGCUGUUUUUGGUUAUUAUCUUGAAUAUUAUUAUAGAUAGAGAUAAAUUGUAAACAGCAAUAAUGUUCAGCAAAGUAAGAUCUACAAAUAAGUCAACAUGACCAAAAUGGUCAGUUGACCCCUUUAGGAGUUAUUGCCCUUUAUAGUCAAUCUUUAACCAUUUUUCAUAAAUCUAAGUAAUCUUUUACAAAAUCUCCACUGAAACUACUAGGCCACAAUCAUCUUUUGGGUAUCUAGUUUGAAAAAUGUGUCCGAUGACCUGGCCAUUCAACCAAGAUGGCCGCCACGGCUAAAAAUAGAACAUAGGGGUAAAAUGCAGUUUUUGGCUUAUAACUAUGAAUUCAAAGCAUCUAGAGCAAAUCUGACAAGAAGUUAAAUUGUUAAUCAAGUCAAUAUCUAUCUGCCCUGAAUUUUUCAGAUGAAUUGGACAACUGGUUGUUGGGUUGCUGCCCUCCAAUUGGUAAUUUUUAAAGAAAUUUUGCCGUUUUUGGUUAUCUUGAAUACUAUUAUAGAUAGCGAUAAACUGUAAACAGCAAUAAUGUUCAGCAAAGUAAGAUCUACAAAUAAGUCAACAUGACCUAAAUGGUCAAUUGACCCCUUAAGGAGUUAUUGCCCUUUAUAGUCAAUUUUUAACAAUUUUCAUUAAUUUGGUAAAUAUAUGUAAAUUUUUACCAAAUAUAGUUCUCUGUUACUAAUGGGCAAAGUUCAUUAUAGAUAUAAUUGUAAGAAGCAAAAUCGUUCAGUAAAGUAAGAACUUCAAACACAUCACCAUCACCAAAAUACAAUUUUGUCAUGAAUCCAUUUGUGUCCUUUGUUUAAUAUGCACAUAGACCAAGGUGAGCGACACAGGCUCUUUAGAGCCUCUAGUUUAGCUCACCUUGCCCAAAGGGCCAAGUGAGCUUUUCUCAUCACUUGGCGUCCAGCGUCGUCCGUCGUCGUUAACUUUUACAAAAAUCUUCUCCUCUGAAACUACUUGGCCAAAUUAAACCAAACUUGGCCACAAUCAUUAUUGGGGUAUCUAGUUUAACUCUAGUUUUGACCCGGCCAACCAACCAAGAUGGCUGCCAUGGCUAAAAAUAGAACAUAGGGGUAAAAUGCAGUUUUUGGCUU